rnacentral:rRNA from 1 species
AUUGAACGCUGGCGGCAGGCCUAACACAUGCAAGUCGAGCGGCAGCGGGAAGUAGCUUGCUACUUUGCCGGCGAGCGGCGGACGGGUGAGUAAUGUCUGGGAAACUGCCUGAUGGAGGGGGAUAACUACUGGAAACGGUAGCUAAUACCGCAUAACGUCGCAAUACCAAAGAGUGGGACCUUCGGGCCGCUUGCCAUCAGAUGUGCCCAGAUGGGAUUAGCUGGCAGGUAGGGGAAUGGCCUACCUGGUCGACGAUCCCUAGCUGGUCUGAGAGGAUGACCAGCCACACUGGAACUGAGACACGGUCCAGACUCCUACGGGGGGCAGCAGUGGGGAAUAUUGCACAAUGGGCGCAAGCCUGAUGCAGCCAUGCCGCGUGUGUGAAGAAGGCCUUCGGGUUGUAAAGCACUUUCAGCGAGGAGGAAGGCAGUAAGGUUAAUAACCUUGCUGAUUGACGUUACUCGCAGAAGAAGCACCGGCUAACUCCGUGCCAGCAGCCGCAGUAA